rnacentral:rRNA from 1 species
GACGAACGCUGGCGGCGUGCCUAAUACAUGCAAGUUGAGCGCUGAAGGUUGGUACUUGUACCAACUGGAUGAGCAGCGAACGGGUGAGUAACGCGUGGGGAAUCUGCCUUUGAGCGGGGGACAACAUUUGGAAACGAAUGCUAAUACCGCAUAAAAACUUUAAACACAAGUUUUAAGUUUGAAAGAUGCAAUUGCAUCACUCAAAGAUGAUCCCGCGUUUUAUUAGCUAGUUGGUGAGGUAAAGGCUCACCAAGGCGAGGAUACAUAGCCGACCUGAGAGGGUGGUCGGCCACAUUGGGACGGAGACACGGCCCAAACUCCUACGGGAGGCAGCAGUAGGGAAUCUUCGGCAAUGGACGAAAGUCUGACCGAGCAACGCCGCGUGAGUGAAGAAGGUUUUCGGAUCGUAAAACUCUGUUGGUAGAGAAGAACGGUGGUGAGAGUGGAAAGCUCAUCAAGUGACGGUAACUACCCAGAAAGGGACGGCUAACUACGUG